rnacentral:lncRNA from 1 species
CUGGAAGCAGGAUGUCCCCUUCUGCCAGUUGCAAUACCGAAGUUCAGUCUUCCGCACAGCUGUUGAGAAGCAAAGCCGUCCUUGGCCCCCUGCCGCCCCUCUCCACACCUCCUCACUAGUGUGGUCUGCUCUCUACUGGUGUUAGCUCAUAAAGCCUUGAACACAUGCCUCUUAAUAAGAAACUCCUGAUGACCAAAAGGCUUUUUCAGCCCAUAGGAAUAGAGCUAAGCAGGUGGACUUUGGUCACUGUGACAAGCAGGUGGGAUGGAGAAAAGGUGAUAGGUUUAGGAGCUGGGGACCUCCCCACUCCUCACAUCAUGCAGCAUAAGUAAUCACCUUCUCCAGCUCUGCGUGUGGUCUACCCCGUGAAAGAUGCCACGAGAAAGAAGAAUUUCCAAUGGUGAUUCUGUAUUAUUCGUCAGAACAAGUCAGCACAGCCAAGACCCUAUACAAACAGUAGUGACAGUGAAAAGCCCAUUUUGCCUGGUUGAAGGCACAUCAUUCGUUCCUGUCUAAACAGUCCUUCAGGCAGCAGCACACACAGCAGAUAUUCAGGGCAACAAAGAGGAAGCUGAAAUAGCGGAUAUAGAUUGGAAGAGAAAAGCAUCACCAACAGUGUUAAUUCCUUUCCUUACUGUAGCUGGAGAAUCAGCCUCAUCUCAAAUGAAGUCUAUCGUCUUCCGCACCCCAUGCAGCUUUCUCAGAGACCUCCUUGACCCUCCGGAGGUUUCCAGACCACUGUGCCUCCAUGCUCAGGCGAAACUUAAAUGCCAACUGACCCAACAUGCUGUCUUCUUCCCGUGUGGUCCCAGACUGCUAAGCAUUACUGGAGUCAAUGGCAUAUCCGGACACAUUGGUGCCCUCAGGAAGUCACACCAACACCGCCUACGCCUUUUAUUCUGCCUGGCAAUCUAACUGUGUCUGCUUGAUUGGUUCAACCUUUCAUUCUCGGCAACAACUAUUUCAAACUUGCAUUCUGCUCAAACUUCGCAGCUUCUCUGCAACCUCCACGCUCUCAGCAGGUGACAGAGAAACAAGAAGCUUAGUAAGAGGAGAAUGUCCUCAGUGUCCACCGGACCUCCGAACCUGCCUGUCCUCAUCUUCCCUCCUCCCAGGGGUGGGAGGUGACCCUCUUCCCUCAAGUUCAAGGUCCCAGGCCCUCCCCAUCCUAAAGACCUCACGCUAUCAGCUCAGCUCAUCACCCAGCAGCCGCCCUGCAUC